GUGGAGCAAACCUCAGAAAGCCAAUCUCAGUUCGGAUUGUAGGCUGCAACUCGCCUACAUGAAGUUGGAAUCGCUAGUAAUCGCGAAUCAGAAUGUCGCGGUGAAUACGUUCCCGGGUCUUGUACACACCGCCCGUCACACCACGAGAGUUUACAACACCCGAAGUCAGUGGCCUAACCGUAAGGAGGGAGCUGCCUAAGGGUGGGGUAGAUGAUUGGGGUGAAGUCGUAACAAGGUACC
rnacentral:rRNA from 1 species